AUUUUGGUGCUUACGACGUCGUUUUGGUGCGGGAGGGCAGGAACGACUUUCCACGUGGCGUUGCAGACGGGGCACGUGUUGUUGCUGCUGACGUGGCCGGCGAUGCAGGGGAAGUGAAAAGCAUGACCGCAUUCCGCAGUGGAUAGCUUGAAGCUAGGGGAGCGUGGAGUAGAUGGAUUUGAUGUUGAAUCUGCGGUGUCUGAGACUGAGAGGAAGCUCAAUCUGACGCAGGUGGUUGGGGAUUGGCUUCGGUGUUGGUUAUGUAAAAUUGUGGAUUCUGGGUUACGGGUGCAGAACGCUCUUCUCCAACCACCCCCCAUUCUGGUUAUGUAAAAAUUUGUUAUAUUGUUCUAUCUCUAUAUGCCUAUCUUAUAACUCUUUGUUUAUUUACGUUUUAUUGAGAAGGAUUAGAACUUAGAAGAGAGAGAGAGAGACAAUUGGUUUCUUGAAUCAACAGGAAGGUGCCAUAGAAGAACAAUAAUGGAGUAUUUAGGAGAGGAGUGCCUACAUGGAUUUAUAUGCUGUACAUGCUAUACUAGCACGGUUAAAUCGGUCAAGUAUUCGAAAGAAGUAAUCGAAUGAGUUAUUUCGAAGAGAAGAUUGAGCGGUUAUGUGAGUGGAGAAAUUGAAGACAUUCACCAUGUGGAGAAUUUAUGAGUAAGCGUUUAAUUAGCCAAGGGGCGGGAACGGUUACCAAGGGCAAGGAGUGCGCAUUCAAGGUUGUGUUUCUUUAAUUAAUUGUCAGUUACAAGAGUGGAUUAUAAAUACUAAAAAGUUUUAGGGAAUAAAGGUUGGAACUUUAACUCAGAAAAUACUCAAGUACACUCACAUCCCCAGAGAAUUCCUGAGUCUGCGAUCGAGUUACUUUUUUAUAGGGUUCCUUCCAUGUUUUUACUCUUUCAAUUUAUUUUCUUGUAAACUUUAUUUUUCAAGCAAGUUUAUUUUCCAAGUAUCAUUUAAUUUCA